AUGCUCGCUUCAGCAGCACAUAUACUAAAAUUGGAACGAUACAGAGAUUAGCAUGGCCCCUGCGCAAGGAUGACACGCAAUUCGUGAAGAGUUCCAUAUUUUU
rnacentral:snRNA from 1 species